rnacentral:rRNA from 1 species
AGAGUUUGAUCCUGGCUCAAAACGAACGCUGGCGGCAGGCCUAACACAUGCAAGUCGAGCGAGACCUUCGGGUCUGGCGGCGGACGGGUUAGUAACGCGUGGGAACGUGCCCUUCUCUGCGGAAUAGCCACUGGAAACGGUGAGUAAUACCGCAUACGCCCUUCGGGGGAAAGAUUUAUCGGAGAAGGAUCGGCCCGCGUUAGAUUAGAUAGUUGGUGGGGUAAUGGCCUACCAAGUCUACGAUCUAUAGCUGGUUUUAGAGGAUGAUCAGCAACACUGGGACUGAGACACGGCCCAGACUCCUACGGGAGGCAGCAGUGGGGAAUCUUACACAAUGGGCGCAAGCCUGAUCUAGCCAUGCCGCGUGUGUGAUGAAGGUCUUAGGAUCGUAAAGCACUUUCGCCAGGGAUGAUAAUGACAGUACCUGGUAAAGAAACCCCGGCUAACUCCGUGCCAGCAGCCGCGGUAAUACGGAGGGGGUUAGCGUUGUUCGGAAUUACUGGGCGUAAAGCGUACGUAGGCGGAUCAGAAAGUUGGGGGUGAAAUCCCGGGGCUCAACCCCGGGACUGCCUCCAAAACUCCUGGUCUUGAGUUCGAGAGAGGUGAGUGGAAUUCCAAGUGUAGAGGUGAAAUUCGUAGAUAUUUGGAGGAACACCAGUGGCGAAGGCGGCUCACUGGCUCGAUACUGACGCUGAGGUACGAAAGUGUGGGGAGCAAACAGGAUUAGAUACCCUGGUAGUCCCCCCGUAAACGAUGAAUGCCAGUCGUCGGG